UCCGGCGGUGACUCUCACGGUGAC
rnacentral:siRNA from 1 species